rnacentral:rRNA from 1 species
AUUGAACGCUAGCGGGAUGCUUUACACAUGCAAGUCGAACGAGUGGCGGACGGGUGAGUAAUAUAUCGGAACGUGCCCAGUAGAGGGGGCUAACUACUCGAAAGAGUGGCUAAUACCGCAUAUCAUUGGAGCGGCCGAUAUGGGAUUAGCUAGUUGGUGGGGUAAAGGCUCACCAAGGCAACGAUCCGUAGCUGGUCUGAGAGGACGACCAGCCAGACUGGUACUGAGACACGGCCCAGACUCCUACGGUAGGCAGCAGUGGGGAAUUUGGGACAAUGGGGGAAACCCUGAUCCAGCCAUCCCGCGUGUGUGAGAAGGCCUUCGGGUUGUAAAGUACUUUUGGCAAGGAAGCGGUAUCUGCAGAAUAAGCACCGGCUAACUACGUGCCAGCAGCCGCGGUAAUAC